AUAUAUUGUAAAUAUAUAUAAAAAUAUAUAUUGUAUUUUAUAUUAUAUAUAAAUAUAUUAUAUAUUAUAUUAUAUAUAAAUAUAUAAAAUAUGUAAUAUAAAAUAUAUUAUAUAUAAAUAUAUAUAAAUUUAUAAUAUUUAAUAUUGAAAUAUUAUAUAAAUAUAUUUUAUAUAUAUAUUUUUUUUGAGACAGAAUCUCUCUCUGUUGCCCAGGCUGGAGUGCAGUGGUGUGAUCUUAGCUCACUGCAACCUCUGCCUCCCGAGUUCAAGGGAUUUUCCUGCCUCAGUUUCCCAAGCAGCUGGGAUGACAGGCGCCCAUCACCACUCCUGUCACCUACUCAGUGCUUUUUAAACAAGCCCUCGUUCUUGCUACCGGGUCCAACUGGUCUUCUGUUUUCAUUAAAUCAAGAAGACCUGUCCCAUGUUACCCCUGGAGUUUCAGCUCUCUACAUGUGUCUGUUAAAAGUUUAAGUGGACAAAGCCAGUGAGGGGAGCCCAGGAACUCGGUUUAAGCCGCACUUUGACAGUCUGUGAACCUGUUUGACAACUUUCUCCCCUCUCUGCCUCUGUGAACGCCUGUGCACCAACGAAAUAGCUACCUCUAUCCGCUGUGGUCAGCGUCAGGAAAACAGCAAGAGCCAGCUAUGAAUCUGUGUCUUCGUCCUCCUUUAAAUUUCAGCAAUAUUUCUGAGAGAGAGAGAGAGAGAGAAAAAAAAAAUACUGUUCAGCUCAAAAAUUUCCUCUAAAUGAUAAAAGGAAAACGCCGCCGCUCCCUUUGCACCCUAGAUGUGGGCUGCAGGGCUGCCUGGGCUCUGCUAACAAAAGCACAAAGCGUGAAUGGCCUGGUGAUGGCUGGUUUUCGCCCUUGGACUGAGAGAUGAGAUCACGAUUUUCACGAAGAGAAGGAACCGCCGCUGCCAGGCCGUUCAGGCUGCCGCUUCCCCUCCCCGCGCGGGUCCCGCAUUACAUCACUGGGGCCGAACCUGCGUUCUCACGCCCAGGAGCCCAAGACCUGGCCUCCGCAACGACACAGUCCUUAUCCCAGACCUUCUACGAUGUCUCCAUAAUCAGACUUGGCGGUCGGGAAGAAGGCGAGGAUCACUGCGGGGCUUGCCGCGGAGUAGGAAGGACUCAGAACACCGGCAAAGACGCCUCAUUCCAAAUGCAGAGCAGAUCGGCUGUAACAGGAAGGCGAGAAGGUUGGAAUUCUUACUUGCCCGCCGUUGUCCCGACCGAAUAAGAGGCUGAAGUGUCUCAAGUUGUUUUCUGCAUGGAAAUUAGGUUAAUAAAUUUUCCCCGGGAGAAAAAAAAAAGUUGUUUAAAAUAAGAAACACUUUAGGCAGGGCACAGUGGCUCACACCUGUAAACCCAACACUUUGGGAGGCCGAGGCCAGACGGUCGUUUGAGGCCAGGAGUUCCAGACCAGCCUAGUCAAUACAGAGAGAUCCCUGUCUCUAACAAAAAAUACAAAAAUUAGCCGGGCAUGGUGGCACAUGCCUGUAGUCCCAGCUACCUGGAAGGCUGAGGCGGGAGGAUCGCUUGAGCCCAGGAGUUGGAGGCUGCAGUGAGCUGUGAUCUGGCCACUGCACUCCAGCCUGGGUGACAAAGCAAGACCCCGUCUCAAUCAAUCAAUCAUACAAGCAAGCACUUUAAAGUGGGAUUAUUGGACGUAUUUUAAAAAGGAAAUGAGGUGAAGUAAAUUUCUAAAUUAUUUUCAGUCGAGAUAAGUUACUUUGGUGUCUCCUGAAGGCAUUAAAGGUAACUUUUGUUGACAUUUACUUACUGACAGAACAAGGCAAACAAUGAAAGAUGAAGUAUUGGCCGGGCGCGGUGGCUCACGCCUGUUAUCCCAGCACUUUGGGAGGCCAAGGUGGGCGGAUCACGAGGUCAGGAGAUCGAGACCAUCCUGGCUAACACGGUGAAACCCCGUCUCUACUAAAAAAAAAAAAAAAAAAAAAAUACAAAAAAUUAGCCGGGCGAGGUGGCGGCGCCUGUAGUCCCAGCUACUCGGGAGGCUGAGGCGGGAGAAUGGCGUAAACCCGGGAGGCGGAGCUUGCAAUGAGCCGAGAUCGCACCACCGCACCAGACCUCAUGCUUUCCGGGGCUGAUCAAAGUAGUUGAAAACCAGUACCUUCUAACGGAUCAGGACUGGCAACAUAACCUUGUUCUGAUUUAAACCCUAACACAGCGGCGGCUUAGCUGUGUGAACUUAGGCAAGUUAAUUAACCUCUGUGUACCUCCUUUUUUCAUUUUAACUAGAUAUAACCUAAUUGAUUUGAGCAGUAAGUGGUUGAAUCUUGUAACACACUGAGAACAAUGCCAUUAUAUACUAAGC
rnacentral:lncRNA from 1 species